rnacentral:misc_RNA from 1 species
CCAAUAGCGUAUAUUAAAGUUGUUGCAGUUAAAAAGCUCGUAGUUGAAUUUUAGGCCUGGCCGGAUGGUCCGUCUUUGGCGAGUACUGUUCUGUCGUCGGGUCUAUCCUUCUGGUGAGCCGGUAUGCCCUUUAUUGGGUGUGUCGGGGAACCAGGACCAUUACCUUGAAAAAAUUAGAGUGUUUAAAGCGGGCAUUUGCUUGAAUAGAUUAGCAGGGAAUAAUAGAAUUGGACGUUGGUUCUAUUUUGUUGGUUUUAGGACCACCGUAAUGAUUAAUAGGGAUAGUUGGGGGCAUUAGUAUUCAAUUGUCAGAGGUGAAAUUCUUGGAUUUAUUGAAGACUAACUAUUGCGAAAGCAUUUGCCAAGGAUGUUUUCAUUAAUCAAGAACGAAAGUUAGGGGAUCGAAGACGAUCAGAUACCGUCGUAGUCUUAACCAUAAACUAUGCCGACUAGGAAUCGGGCGACGUUAUUUCAUGACUCGCUCGGCGCCUUAUG